AACUCCAAAUGUAAUGAAAUGAGAAAGUAUGUCUAAAGAAACAUAAGCUUUUAUCAGCAGUGAGAGUCACAUACUUUUUUCAUUAAUAUAUAUUCCUGCUUUUUUUUGUUUUCAGGUCAACACUUUUUCACCUUUUGCAUUCUGCUGAUCUUUUAAAAGAGAGCUCCACCAUGAAAGGCGAAUAGAAAGAGCUUUUCCAGGUAGUCCAUGGAAGUUCAUACUUCAGAGUUGAAGACUUUAAGCAGUGGAUGAUCAAAGCAGGGCUGGCUACAGAUGGAAACUCUGGGCUUGAAGUGUAGAUUUACCUAAGCACGUCCUCCACUGGGAGAAAUGAAUUGAUAAGAAGGCAGAGGCAGACGAACAGCACUCGCGCCAGUACCGACACCUCGAGGAAUGCGACUUGCAGCCAACCAGUCCUUAAGCAAGCCAAAAUUAUUAGGUAAAUAAUAUAUUCUGAGUAUUUUAUAUAUAUAUAAUUAUGCAAUACAUUAUAUAAAAUAAUAUAAUACACCAUGUAAU
rnacentral:lncRNA from 1 species